rnacentral:tmRNA from 1 species
GGGGGCGAAAGGUUUCGACCGGACGAGUUGAGGUUCGAGUGGCGUGUCCAGGAUGCCAGUGGGCCUGGUUAAUCAUCUGGCAAAACCCUAAACGGCAACACACAGUUGCGUAUGGCCGCCUAAUUGAGCGGCCCGUUCACAUCGUGACGCCCGCUAACGGUGCUGAGCGCAGACAGCAGGCUGGUCGGCCCGGUCGGUUCGACGCCGGGUCGGCGAGAAAUCAGUCGAGCUAGCCGAGGGCAGAUCCUGUCGGUUGGAGAUGUCGGAGGCGAAUCUUAAAUAAUCGACUAUGCACGUAGAAGCUCGAUCCGAAACGUCACGGGACGGGGGUUCGAUUCCCCCCGCCUCCAGUG